rnacentral:rRNA from 1 species
CCUACGGGUCGCACCAGUGGGGAAUAUUGCACAAUGGGCGCAAGCCUGAUGCAGCCAUGCCGCGUGUAUGAAGAAGGCCUUCGGGUUGUAAAGUACUUUCAGCGGGGAGGAAGGCGAUAAGGUUAAUAACCUUGUCGAUUGACGUUACCCGCAGAAGAAGCACCGGCUAACUCCGUGCCAGCAGCCGCGGUAAUACGGAGGGUGCAAGCGUUAAUCGGAAUUACUGGGCGUAAAGCGCACGCAGGCGGUUUGUUAAGUCAGAUGUGAAAUCCCCGGGCUCAACCUGGGAACUGCAUCUGAUACUGGCAAGCUUGAGUCUCGUAGAGGGGGGUAGAAUUCCAGGUGUAGCGGUGAAAUGCGUAGAGAUCUGAAGGAAUACCAGUGGCGAAGGCGGCCCCCUGGACAAAGACUGACGCUCAGAUGCGAAAGCGUGGGGAGCAAACAGGAUUAGAUACCCCCGUAGUC